rnacentral:rRNA from 1 species
CCCUUAGAUGUUCUGGGCCGCACGCGCGCUACACUGACUGCUCCAACAAGUUACCUGGGCUGACAAGCAUCCGGGAAAUCUUGCAAAGGCAGUCGUGAUGGGGAUAGAUUCUUGUAAUUUUUGAUCUUCAACGAGGAAUUCCUAGUAAACGCAAGUCAUCAGCUUGCAUUGAUUACGUCCCUGCCCUUUGUACACACCGCCCGUCGCAUCUACCGAUUGAAUGGAGAGACAAAAUCUUCGGACCGUGACGCUUGGGAGUCAAAUCUCGGGCUGUCGUGGGAAGUGGAUUAAACCUUUCUAUUUAGAGGAAGGUAAAGUCGUAACA